AUGAAGAACGCAGCGAAAUGCGAUAAGUAAUGUGAAUUGCAGAAUUCAGUGAAUCAUCGAAUCUUUGAACGCACAUUGCGCCCGCCAGUAUUCCGGCGGGCAUGCCUGUCUGAGCGUCAUUUCAACCCUCAUGCCCCUAGGGCGUGGUGUUGGGGAUCGGCCAAAGCCCGCGAGGGACGGCCGGCCCCUAAAUCUAGUGGCGGACCCGUCGUGGCCUCCUCUGCGAAGUAGUGAUAUUCCGCAUCGGAGAGCGAUGAGCCCCUGCCGUUAAACCCCCAACUUUCCAAGGUUGACCUCAGAUCAGGUAGGAAUACCCGCUGAACUUAAGCAUAUCAAUAAGCGGAGGA
rnacentral:misc_RNA from 1 species